UUUGUUUUUUGCUCCCUUUAAGCCCCUGGCAAGUUAUGUAGCUGAAGGAAGGUGAGAGAAUGGGGCUAAUAGUACUAGUAAGACAGACAAGUGGACAGGCUUGCAGCUAUUCGGGAUCUUUAGAUCAGGCUGAUGUGGUUACGAAGCUGAUCAGAUGACUUCUAAGGAUGAUGCAGUUUGGAUGCUCCAAAGCCCAGAAACUUCCCUGAGCUAAGCCUGGGAAGGGAUCCAAAAGGUUGAUUUUUCCAUGUAUGCCAGAAUCCCCACUUUGAACUGAUGGCAGAAAAGGGGAGCUUAGCCCAUCCAUCCAUCCUUCCUGGAUGUGUCCUUCCUCAACAGGAAAAAGCACUCCUGAUAUUUUGCUGUAAUUGCAAAAAGCUUCCUUUUUGGAAGGAAGCUUUUUGCAAUUUUCCUUUUGGACUUGGUUGCAGAUCUGGAAUCUCAUAUCUCGUUUACCCGGAACUAGCUACAAAAAUCACUGGCCCCUCUAACAGAUUACAUUUUGGGUUAUGUAGUGACAGUGAAAGUGCAGCAAGUGAUCAAAUAUUUAUUUUUUUAAGCACAAUGCAUCACAUUUUUGAGUUACCAAAGUUACUUUGUAGGGAGAUUUCAAUAGAAAGGUCAUGGUGGAUAUUUUUUCUAGUUCUAUGACUUGCUUUUCCCAAUGACUUGCAAAGUAAUGCAAUGGAUCUCUUACUUUGUCUUGUGAACACAGGGGAGAAAUACAACAAUGGAAAGGGGAGCAAAAAGACCUCCAUUUGAUCAUUGGAGUUUCAGAUGGGCCAGCCAGAAGGAGGCCGCUUUUAAGAAACAACGCCGGGAGACAGCAAGAGACAAACUGCUGUGCCCAAGGAGGAAGGGUUCGCAAACAGUCCUAUCUGAAAUGAGACCCGCGUUCUUCAGCAGAAGCAUAAGAAUAUUUACUGUUUAGAUAGUGGGGAAAGUCCUUCAUCUUCAAAGGAUCAAAAGCUCAUUUUAAAGGAACCCUGACCCGAAGAUAUCCCCUCACCUGCCUU